UGGGGAAUAUUGCACAAUGGGCGAAAGCCUGAUGCAGCAACGCCGCGUGAGUGAUGAAGGCCUUCGGGUUGUAAAGCUCUGUCUUUUGGGACGAUAAUGACGGUACCAAAGGAGGAAGCCACGGCUAACUACGUGCCAGCAGCCGCGGUAAUACGUAGGUGGCAAGCGUUGUCCGGAUUUACUGGGGCGUAAAGGAUGCGUGGGCGGAUUUUUAAGUGAGAUGUGAAAUACCCGGGCUUAACUUGGGUGCUGCAUUUCAAACUGGGAAUCUAGAGUGCGGGAGAGGAGAAUGGAAUUCCUAGUGUAGCGGUGAAAUGCGUAGAGAUUAGGAAGAACACCAGUGGCGAAGGCGAUUCUCUGGACCGUAACUGACGCUGAGGCAUGAAAGCGUGGGUAGCAAACAGGAUUAGAUAACCCUGGUAGUCCACGCCCGUAAACGAUGAGUACUAGGUGUAGGAGGUAUCGACCCCUUCUGUGCCGCAGUUAACACAAUAAGUACUCCGCCUGGGAAGUACGAUCGCAAG
rnacentral:rRNA from 1 species